UUAACUCAAAUUUGUAUGGAGUUGGAACAUGUGCCUAGGUUUGCCGCUAGCGGCGCUGUUCCAACUGUAUACAAAUUUGAGUUA
rfam:Bombyx mori DNA, contig: Bm_scaf30_contig18869, strain: p50T/Dazao, build 2, whole genome shotgun sequence.